UUAAAUCACUGUAGCUCUCCCAACUGGAAGAUAUUCCAUCUAGGAUCAUUCAUUUACUAGGUGGCUACCACAAGAGGUGGAGAAGAGGCAGCAACAUGCCGCCAGAAGAAAGCCAAAAAGCUAAGCCUGCAAAAAGGGGCAUGAAAAAGUUCCGAACCACCAGCCUUGUAAUCAGCUUGGCACGAGGCUGGCAACAGUGGGUAAGCGACCACAACACAAAGCAAGCCCAAGAGCCCCAGGGAUGGAUGCCUGGUUCAGAAUCACCACCAACUGAGCCACCAAAAGAAAGGCGAUCAUCAAGAUGGCCAGUUUCUACUCAGACACACCAAGAAAAGGGUAUGGAAAAAUCUUCAGGGAAGGAGAUGGUGUUUAAAGGGGAUGUAGUAAAAGAUUCAAGUGAAUCUGAUGAAGCUCUGAGAAAGCUUAACAUUAAAAGCAAGGAGGUAACCAAAACUGUUGUAAGUAAAGUCUAUGAAAAAGGAAAUGACAUUAGCCUCCUCAGUGAUAGAUAUGAGAAGGAUAAUGGAAGCACAGAGAUCUGCGGCUGCAAGGCGGAAUCAAGUCAUUUUGAUAAAAUUCUUAAGGACAAAAUGUCUCCUACAAGGAGGAGGAAGUGCUCAAAUCUGGUGACAGAGCUAACCAAGGGUUGGAAACAGAUGGAACAAGAGGACAAAUUCUCGGAGUUAGAGCUACACAAAUGUCGCAGUGACAGCAUGGAUACGGAGGACAGUGGAUAUGGGGGUGAGGCAGAAGACAGACUCCUGCAAGAAGACUGUGACCACAUUAUGAGGAUUAAACGACCGAUGCCAUCACUUGCUUGUAGGUUUACAGAAGAACCAAGCAGCAAGGCCCACAGGAAAUACAGUCCUGUUAAUACCCUGACGGGCAGAUGGCAAGAAUGGUCAGACCAGCAUAUGAUAACACAGAAGCUGAAUCCUUUCAGUGAGGAGUUUGACUAUGAACUGGCCCAGUCGACACGCCUGCACAAAGGAGAUAAGGGCUAUGGUCAUCCUAAAGAGGGUACGAAAACUGCUGAAAGGGCCAAGAGAGCAGAGAUUCACAUUCACCGGGAGAUAAGAGAUAUGUGCUUUAUCAUUGCAACAAUGGCUCAACCAAGGCGAGACGGCAAGAUCCAAGUCACCUUUGGGGAGCUCUUUGACAGAUAUGUACGGAUUUCAGACAAGGUUGUUGGGAUUCUCAUGAGAGCUAGGAAACAUGGGUUGGUGGACUUUGAAGGAGAAAUGCUAUGGCAAGGAAGGGAUGAUCAUGUUAUAAUUACGUUAUUGAAAUAAAUGCACAACAAACCCAUGAUGGUAAAAGUUAAAAUGUCCCAGUUUUUCCAUUUCUGCCAGUUACUGCACCAUCUAAUAGUCAACAUUUUGAUUAUAGGAAUUUACCAUGACGUUGGAAAGAUACUUAACAUUUGUUCGAGAGUCAGAUGUUUUAUAAUUACUUCUAUGACACCAAGCAUUCUUUUGCUAUCCCUUUUGUAUUGUGCCUUCUAGUAACAGAAUUUGCAGCAUUAUAUAGUUAUUUACUACUCAGGCAAGGAUAGAUGAUGAAGAACUGGAGUGAAUAUAUGUAUUAAAAGCAUCAAAAUAAAUAUAAGAACAUAGUGGCAGAAGAGAUGGCUCCACCUCAAACCCAGCCCUGAGUUGUUUUCACAUACAAGAUUUCCCCCUCUCCCUAUAUUAACUAACGUAGAAGGGAUUUGGGGAGUUAAAGUGAGUUGGAUCAGGAACCAAGGAUAUGAACUUUAAUGUGUAGUUUAUAAAACUGACCCUUCAGACUUGUCCUGUAUUUCAUAAUUAAGUCAGCAAAACUAUUUAAGGGCAUGCAAAUAGAAUUUGAAUGUACGGAUAUCAGCAUUUACUACUAAGGCAUAGGAUAUACUACAGUUAUUCCCUAUUCUAAGUAUAGCAAAAUACUACUGCAGAAAUUAUGAUAUAGUGACUAACUGACAAAGGUUCAUGUUUUAAUGGAGACCCAUGUAUUUGUGAGUUUUUCCUUAUACUUCAUACACAAAGUAAGAUGAAACUGAUCUCUUAUACAAAGAGGGUUUUGUAUUUAAACUGUUCUAUGUUUAUAUUUUUAAAAAAGAAACAAAUGGAAUGGUGGCAUUCAUCCCCUAUAGAAAAAUACUGAACACCAGACUUAAAUGCAUAGAGAAUAUAGAAAUACAUGAGAAUUACUGCAUGAUACUAGUAUACAGAAAUGAUUUUCUAUUCCAUACAUCAAUACAUAUUUCCUGGGGGAACAAGUAGAGAGUAAGUGUAUGGCGCUAGACAUUUGUAAACAGCUUUGUUACAGAAAAAGUACAAGAUCAAGAUGCAGGAAUAGCAAUGGUAGAGAUGUUCUCCUGUAGAUAGAGCCUACUCUGUGAGUGAGGAAUAUAUGAGCAGUAUUUUUCCUAAGUAGAAAGAAUACAUCAUCUGUGAGAAAGCUGGUAUUUUAUAAAAUGUUCAACAAAAUAUGAGCUUAAUUCUACAAUUUGUAUUCAUAGUAGGUUGUUCCAGUGAAAUCAACUGCAUUAUUUCAAUGCGAUUAAAGACUGCAGAAUUAAGCAAUGUAUGUUUUAGAGAAAUGUUUAAAAUGGUUUUCUAUGCUGUACUAUAGUGUAGAUUUCUAUAUUGUAUAUAAUGCUUAUUGAAUUAUAUAGACAGUGGCUUCUCAAGAAGAUUAUGACUAUGUAAAUUUCUCACAUUGCACAGUAAGGGCAGAAUAAAAUGUUCAUUUAGGAGGAAAAAAAUUAAGGCAAACAAUUUACAUACAGUUACAAAUGAGAACCUGAAUGGUUUCCCUUAAGUUUCUUUCAAACUGAAAGAUCAAACAUCUUCUUGCAGAAGAAAAAGGUAUAUGUACAUUCUACCUUAAUUUGGUAAACCAAAGAAUUGUUAAGUUAGCAAUAAAAUACAACUAUUCUAGUUUCAACUUCCUACUAGGCAUAUUUUUUGUUUGCAAAUAAAACAGACCUCAAAUUUUUACAGGCAAAUAAUUCAAGAACCAAAUAACAAUAUGCUCCUAUAGUACAUCUUGUUCUAAAAAACACACUUGAACCUCAGUAACAUGGAUGUCCCUAAUCCAGGAACACUGUGGUACAGACCCUGGCAGCAGGAGGAGAAAGCGGCUCUGUGUGCUGCCACAGCCCUUCCUCCUCCAUUUGGAGGAAUGGCAGCACAGCACUUAUUUAGAAGCUUUUCCCCUGAUGUUUUGAUAGUGGUGGGGAGUGAUGUUUGGGAGCGGGAGGGGGUGAGGAGCCAUGUGUGCCCAGGAAGCAGGGCAGCAGGCAAGCACCCCACGCCCAUCCCCCUCACGCACUCUCCCUGCUUCCAGACUUCCCAACCUCAGCACACUCCUGCAUCCUCCCUCCCUCAGGCCUCAUAUGUAUUACUGUCUUUGUUACAUAUGAAAUAAAAAUUCAGAACUUUUCAAAAAUGAUUUUAUUUUCACCUUCAAAACAAAAAGUAUACAUGAACACUCAUGGUCCACAAAAUUCGAUAAUCCAACAAAGCCGAUUUCCCAAGACUGCCAGAUUAAAGAGUUUCAAGUGCAUUAACAUUGUAAGCAAGGUAAAUGUGCAGUUAGCUGUGAUAAAAAUAUAUCACAUUGCAGGUCUUAACCAAUGGUCUUUUUGUUUACAAUGUGACUACUUAUGCAAAUAAUAGCUGCAAAACUGAGUUCCAGAAUACUGCAUUUCAUGUCUGAAUAGUUAUCUGCAUAUACAGGUUUCUUGCAUUACCCUCCCUGGUUCUUCAUAGGAAUACCACAACAUCUAUUUAAUUAUAAAUCAUGUGUUUUGUCCUUUAAAAGGAUGUCCUAAUACAAUACCCGAAUGACAAGUAAAGUCUUACUUUGAGUACCCAGAGCUUGCUUGUUUUUUUCCUCACCACUACUUAGAAGAGACAUACUGUAUUUUCCGGCGUAUAGGGCGACUGGGCGUAUAAGACUACCCCUAUCUUUUUAAUUAAAAGAUAGGG